AAGCAGUUGGUUCAUGUUGUCCACUCCCUCUGAAUCUUUCACAUAAUUGGGUCUCAUUUCCCUAAAUGAAUAAAAUCUGCUACACCCCUCUGCAUGUGCAAGGUCAGCAGAUGUAUACUCAAAUCUGCCCCUCCCUUCUAAGUUCAUGAAUAUUUCAUGUUAUGUGAAGGAAAAAGAAAGACAAAGGGGGGUGUAGCCAAUCAAAUAACCCUGGGGACAGUCAGGCGUUGUAGCCCCCUCCUCAUUGCCACAUACACACGCAUAAGGCAGAACCUGCUGCUUCAUCCACCCACACAGACAGACUGAUACUUUCUCAUUCAGCUCCCGUGUCCAUACACUGCAUCACGUCCAAAAAAACAUGGCUGACAAACCCAACAUGACAGAAAUCACAUCUUUUGAUAAAACUAAACUCAGGAAGACAGAGACCCAAGAAAAGAAUCCAUUGCCAACCAAAGAAACUAUUGAACAGGAGAGACAAGGAGAGUCCACACCAUGAAUGAUGUUUGUAACUGAAGUCACACAGCAGACAGAAGUGAAUGGCUGAGAUGAGCAGAGAAGAGACUUUGAGAGGAAUCGAACUAGUAACUGAUGUGUAAUUGGUUUUAUAUAUUUGUUUGUUUGUUCGAGAAUGAAAUAAAAAUGUACGAAUGUGUUUCAUCGAGUGCAGCCAGACAACCAAUAAAUGAAUUUGACAACA